GAACUAAGGAGCUAAUGCUUCCUUUCCUCUGCGUUUUCUGAACAACCUCCAUACACCAUCUGCAUCGCUGUAUGGCAAGCUUAUGAGGCAGUUAUGUCUGAGUGAUGAGUUUGCUGUCAUCAGAAGCAGAAAACCAUCACCUUUUCAAGAAACAACUUUUCUGUGUAUUCAUGGAAAGUCAGCUUCUGGAUCACUAAGC
rnacentral:lncRNA from 10 species